rnacentral:rRNA from 1 species
AGCUCCAAUAGCGUAUAUUAAUGUUGUUGCAGUUAAAAAGCUCGUAGUUGGAUUUCUGGUCGGAACGCCGGUCCGGCUCCGCAAGGGGUCGUGUAUUGGUUUCUCCUGCCAUCCUCAGGGGGAGCUGCACUGGUAUUUGUUUAUCGGUGUGGUUACGCCUGUCGUUUACUGUGAACAAAUUAGAGUGUUCAAAGCAAGGUGUACUUGAAUACAUUAGCAUGGAAUAAUAAGAUAGGACUUUGGUGGUUCUUUUUGAUAUUUUGUUGGUUUGCACGCCAAAGUAAUGAUUAAUAGGAGCAGUUGGGGGUAUUCGUAUUCAAUUGUCAGAGGUGAAAUUCUUGGAUUUAUAGAAGACGAACUACUGCGAAAGCAUUUACCAAGGAUGUUUUCA